GGGGCGGGGACAGGCCGCGGGCCGGGGCCCAGGAGAGGCGGUGGGAAGAACGGGGCCGGGGCCCGCGCUGCCCGCGGGGUUGGCGGCCUGAUGCCCCGGUAGCCGCUGCCGGCUCUGCAGAGCUGCGUGGCUCUUGGCUGGUUGGGGUUACACACGGUUAGAGUGUACACGGCGCUCCGUGCUGCGGAUCGGGCUGAAGCGUGCUCCCGCUUGGUGGCUGCCGUUGUCCGAUUUCAGCGGGAAUGUUUCUGGGCUUGGUCGUUGGCUCCUAGGUAGGAGUCAUGGACGUGGACGCCGAAAGAGAGAAAAUAGCAAAGGAGAUUGAAGAAUUAGAAAGGAUCUUGGAUCCCAGCUCCUCGAGUAUCAGCGUGGAGGUCUCGGAGUCUGGUCUUGCACUGGAUUCCGAAGCAGACUCGCUGCCUGAAGAGGACUCGGACGCUGCUGGCUCCCUGGCCUCGGAAGAGGAGAGGUGGGGAGAGGCCAGCAAUGGCGAAGACGACCCCAAGAAGACCCUCCCUGAAGACCCAGAGACCUGCCUGCAGUUGAACAUGGUCUACCAGGAGGUCAUCCAGGAGAGGCUGGCAGAGGUCAGCCUCCUGCUGGCCCAGAACCGGGAGCAGCAGGAGGAGAUCAUGUGUGACCUGGCAGGGUCCAAAGGCCCCAAGGUGAAAGGUGGCAAGAGUCUGCCCCCGAAUCUGUACAUAGGGCACUUCAUGAAGCCCUACUUCAAGGACAGGGUCACCGGAGUGGGGCCUCCAGCCAACGAAGACACGCGGGAGAAGGCCGCCCAGGGCAUCAAGGCUUUCGAGGAGCUCCUGGUGACUAAGUGGAAAAACUGGGAGAAGGCCUUGCUCAGAAGGUCAGUGGUGAGCGACCGCCUACAGCGCCUGCUUCAGCCCAAGUUACUGAAGCUUGAAUACUUGCACCAGAAACGGAGUAGGGUGACCAGUGAGGCAGAGAGGCAGGUCCUGGAGAAGCAGAGCAGAGAGGCGGAGAAGGAGGUCCAGGACAUCCGGGAGCUCCCAGAGGAGACCUUGCUGGGGAACAGGCUGGACGGCCACGACUGGGAGAAGAUCUCCAACGUUAACUUCGAGGGCGGCCGCAGCGCAGAGGAGAUCCGGAAGUUCUGGCAGAACUGUGAGCACCCGAGCAUCAACAAGCAGGAGUGGAGCGGGCCGGAGGUCGAGCAGCUCAAGGCCAUCGCAGCCAAGCAUGGCCACCUGCAGUGGCAGAAGAUCGCCAAGGAGCUGGGGACCGGCCGCAGCGCCUUCCAGUGCCUACAGAAGUACCAGCAGCACAACAGGGCUCUGAAGCGCAGGGAGUGGACCCCAGAGGAGGACCACCUGCUCACCCAGCUCGUGCGGGAGAUGCGCGUCGGCAGCCACAUCCCCUACCGGAGAAUUGUCUACUACAUGGAAGGGAGAGACUCCAUGCAGCUCAUCUAUCGGUGGACCAAGAGCUUGGACCCCAACCUGAAGAAGGGGCUCUGGGCCCCGGAGGAGGAUGCGAAAUUGCUUCGAGCCGUCGCCAAGUACGGGGAGCAGGAUUGGUUUAAAAUCCGGGAAGAGGUGCCAGGUAGGAGCGAUGCCCAGUGCCGAGAUCGGUACCUCAGAAGGCUGCACUUCGGCCUGAAGAAGGGGCGAUGGAGCACAAAAGAGGAGGAGAAGUUGAUGGAACUGAUAGAAAAGUACGGCGUCGGUCACUGGGCAAAGAUAGCUUCGGAGCUACCCCAUCGGACGGGCUCCCAGUGUCUGAGCAAGUGGAAAAUCAUGGUCAGGAAGAAGCAGAGUCGGGGGAGGAGGCGGCGGCGGCGGCCCCUUCGCAGCGUGCGCUGGAGCUCCAGCAGCGAGGACGGCAGCGAUGGGGACAGCAGCAGCAGCAGCAGCAGCAGGGACAGUGAGGAGUCGGAGCCAGAGGAAACCCCAGAGGCCCGGGCGGGGGGCCAGGUGCUGCCCUCAGCACAGCACGCCGUGCCAGACAUGGACCUGUGGGUGCCUGCCAGGCAGAGCGCCGGCGGGCCGUGCGCGGGGGGCGCCUGGGGCCGGCCGGGACGCCCUGCUGCCUCCCCCAGCCCUCCCAGGGGCACCAGUGGGGCGGAGGCUGGCCCAGCAGCUUGGCCCGCGGCCUCGGCUCCCGCACAGGAGGCAGGCCGGGCGCACGCCCCAUCGGGGACCCGCAGCUCCAGUGCGAGCGCCGUCGGCUGCCCGGGCUCAGCGGAUGCUCCCCCCUCGGGCUCAGAGGCGCCGGCGGACGAGAGCGGGAGUCGUCUGCUCAGGGUGCCCCUGGAGACCGUGCUGCAGGUGCUGAGGACCAACACGGCCCACCGGUGCCGGACCCUGGUAGGGCUGGCCCACGGCCCCCGCUGCCCCUGCCCCUCGGUCUGGGCCCCCUGCCCCUCCAGAACAGGGAAGGGCCGGGAACCCCAGAUGCCUUUCUUCCUCACACAGAAGAAACUGAGGCAGCCAGGCCUGCUCGGCCCAUCCGUGGGGGCCGGCCCCAGUGACUGCGCCGUAGCCGGGCCCUGCGUCCGGCAGCUGUGGCACAGGACGAUCGGGAACAGGCAGCGAUGGCGGGGACACUCCCUGCAGAGGAGGCUCCUUGAGCGCCAGCUCCUGACGGCUGUGAGCCCGUGGGUGGGCGACAUCGUCCUGCCCUGCACUCCCCGAAGGCCUGCCGCGGCACACACCCGAGCCGAUGGCAUCAGGAAGCAGCUUCAGGACGCCCACCUGGCCAGCACCCCGGUGUUCACCCUCUUUAUCCAGCUGUUCCAGAUUGACACUGCUGGCUGCAUGGAGGUCGUUCGAGAGAGGAAGGCCCAGCCCCCUGCCCUGCUGCAGACUGGCACCCGGGACCCAGUGCCUGGGCUCCUACCGAUGCCUUCAAGUACCCGGAACGCUACAGGCCACAGCUUCCGGAGCGCGCCAGCCCGAGAAGCUGUGAAGCAGAGCGCCAGCCUCAAAGGGAGCAGGGGGCUGCAGCCCUGCCAUGCCGAGUCCGGUCCGCAGGUGCCCCCACCAGCUCCGUGUGGUCCCCGGCCCAAGCCCAAGACUGUCUCCGAGCUGCUCCGGGAGAAGCGGCUGCGGGAGGCCCGGGCCAGGAAGGCCGCCCCGGGCGCUGUGGUCCUCCCACCCCAGCUGCUGCUCUCCUCCCCACUGAUUCUCCAGCCCCGUCUCCCGGUGGCCCCCCACGGCCCCUCGGCUUCGGGCCUGGCUGUCACAGCCUCGGUGCUCUCCCGGCCUAGCGCCCCUGCCGCGACAGAGCCGUGCACUUCCGGUUCUCGGGCCUCAGCCGAGGACGGAAGGCCCUCCCCCCUGCCAGUCUUGGCCGGCGCCCUGGCCUCCACAGAGGCUGCCCCUGCUGCCUCCAUGGUGCCAGUUCUGGGCCCCAGCCAGGUCCCCGUGAACUGCCAUCGAGGUGGCCCGGGACAGUCUCAGGCCCCUGCCACCACCCAGAAGCAGGGCUUGCCAGAGGCACCACCCUUUCUCCCUGCAGUCCCCAGCCCCUCUCAGCUGCCCGUCCAGCCCAUCUGCCCGACGCCAGCUGUGGGCACACACGAGAGGGGGCCACAGGUGGUGGCCAGCACCCCUCUGCCGGUCACCUGGGUGCUCACAGCCCAGGGGCUCCUCCCCGUGCCCACCGUGGUGGGCCUUCCUGGGCCAGCAGGGACCUCUGACUCCAAGGGACUGUCCGUGGCUCUGUCGUCCUCCCUGCCUGGGACACAGAUAGGCCAGGGUCCCGGGCUCCCCGGGUCGACCCACCCCUGGCAGACCCCCACCAGCCGGGACACAGACUCAGACCCUCCCUCCGAGACAGACCCGCCGGGCCUUCCGAUGCCCCACCGGUCUCAAGGUUCCACGGAGGUGGACAGAGACGGGGCCCACGGCCCGGCGGGGGGCUCCUUCCCUGGAGAGGCUCAAGUGGCCGGGGACACAGCCGUGUCUGGGGCACCCUCCCAAGCCGCGCUCCUGGCUGACCACCCUGAAGCAAAGUCCCCCAGGCCCGGCCAGCCGCCUCUUCGAGGUGGCACCGGCCCUGGGAGUGGCCCAGGAGGGACAGCAGGGUCCGCCUUGAGACCAGAGAGACUCGGGAAGCCUCUGGGCCUGGAGAGGCCACCCCCACCCCGGCCUGGGCCUGAGAGGGGUGCCCUGGACUUGGACCUCGUGUCUCAGGAGGGUGAGGCGGUCGUGCGGGAAUGGCUGAGGGGACGGCGUGGGGUGAGCGUGCCCCCGCUGGGGGGAGGGCUGCCUUACCAGCCCCCCGCCCUGUGCAGCCUGCGGGCCCUGUCUGCACUCUUGCUCCAGAAGGCGGCCUUGGAGCGCAGAGCCGCCUCCCUCGUGCCGGGGGGCGCCGGAGCCCUGCACGCCUCGCUGGGACAGGUACGGAGGUGGCUCCGGGACAGCCCGGCCUACCUGCUGCUCAAGGCGCGGUUCCUGGCGGCCUUCACCCUCCCCGCGCUCCUGGCCACCCUGUCCCCCGAUGGCGUUCCCACCACCCUGUCCGUAGCCACGAGGGCUGACCCCGAGAGCGAGGACGACCUGGGCCUGGAGGAGUCGGAGCUCACUGAUGGCUGCUCCACGACCGGUCCUCGGGCAGGGCCGGCGGCCGCCACCCCCAUUCAGGUAGGUGGCCGUGGGCACGUAGCACCCACCCAGCCUCCCCGUGGCCGCUGUGGGUGCCCAGCCCACCCAGAACAGCGUGGGCAGGAGUGGGUGGGAGCCGUGGCCGACUGGUUGCUGAGGAGGAAGCUGGCUCUGGGCUCCGUCUGUGCGGACGUGGCCUCCCUUGAGGCCAGUGUGGAAAACGGGAGGGGAAGGAACCUCUCCACUCACGAAACCCCUUGGCCACCCCUGGGGCCGCUGGCCUGGUCACACAGCCCUGCCGGAGGGCUGAGCAGACGGGCUCAGGCUCCACGCACCGCGCACACCCACACGCGGACUCCUGCUGGCAGCCCUGCAUGUCCGGGACCCCGAGGUCCUUCUCGCGGUCUGCUCUGGCGGCCUCGGCCUCAGAAGAGUCUUCCGAGCUGUGGAGGCAAAACCCCUUUUCCUGUUGCCUGACAAGAAGCCCGGUCUAAACACGCAGAGAGGUGUCUCCGCAUCUUCUGUGGCAGAGCAGGAGAGCCGGGCCGCCUCGUUUGGUGCCGGAUCAGGAAUAUUGUGGGGUCCCUGCAGGUCGCGGGCCUCCCCAGCUGGAGCUCGCCUUUGCGCCGUCCAGACAGUGGGAGGCAGGGCUUGUGACUGGGGGCCGUGCGGGGAAGGACUCCUCGUUCCCCCGUCCUGCUUGCCGGCUCUCCAGGGCCGCUACCAUGACACAGGGCUGGCUCUGUGGCAUCGCUGGGAGGUUGGAGACGCCAAGGGGUGCGGGGUGGGAAGCCAGAGCCCCCAUGUGGCCCCUGCACGUGGCCAUGUCCCCAGGCCCAGCCUGUAGUGUCUCACCGUCUGCAGGGACCGGUCUGGGGAGCUGCCUGUCCCUGGCGUCCAGUGUCAGGACCCAGCUUCUGCCCUGGCAUACCCCUUGCUGCUGUCGCUUUCCCUGCCUGUCCUGGCUGGGGGUCACUCUUGCCCCCAUCUGCUUGGGUUUUGUUUCAGGGAGCCCCAGACCCUGGGGAGAGCUCUGCCUCUUGCUGCCUAGACAGUUCUGACAACCUGGAUGUGCUCAGAACCCGGCAUGCCCGGAAGAGGAGGCGGCUGGUGUGAGCAGCAGGGAGGUGGGAGCCGUGCCGGACCCUGGUGAGCCCACCUGCCUGGAGAGCCCACCGCUGACCCUACGGGAGAGAGCAGCCAGAAGCAGCUGGAGGUUGGGGAAGGCUCUGCCAGCCGUGACCGUGAGGCCCCCGGGGGCUUGGCUGGUCCUGAACCACAGAUCGGGAUGUUUGAAGGAAUAAAGUGAAUGGCCUAUUUUUUUAUUAAAAACCA